GACUAUCUUCCUCCACCUCCCCAGAGGUCUCGGGCAUCUCGCCCUCAGUCCCUUCCACCCUCCGAUCCUACCUAUCCCAGCCCACCUCUCUCCUCCCUCUUGAAUCUAGGAGGUGUUUCGAGCUUUUGCAGCCUCUGGACCCCGGAAUCCAGAUCCCUAGCCCCCUCCUUCAGUGAUUCCCAGCCCCCCAUCCCCGAAAACCCUGAAAUCCAGUCCCGGCAGCCUCCUCCCUUGGGGACCCUGGAGUCCGGCCCAAGCCCCAUCCCCCUCCGGUUCCGCAGACUCACGGCUCCCGCGGCUCCCGCGUCGGGGGAAGGGGUCUCCUCCGCCAGCCCGGGGCCCGGCGGGAGGCCGGCCACCGCGAGUCCUCUCCAUCCUCUCCCGCCUCCGCCGCCCGCGGCCUCUCCCCUUCCUCCCGCCGCCAUCCUCCUCCCAGUCCCCGCUCCCUCCGGCCGGCGCCUCCCGGCUCUGCGGUCCGGGGCUCCCCUCCCAGGACCCCGCUGGCGGCGCGGCUCGGACCAGCCCCCUCCCCGGGGGGCCCCCGCCCGGCCCCUCCCCGCUGCCCAGCCCAGUCCGGCCUGGCUUCCCCCCUGCCCCGGAGCUGGCCCCGGUCCAGGGGAAAAAAUUCCAUCCAGCCCCGGGGAGGAGGAGCGGGGCGGAGGAGGGAGCGGGAGGGGAGGCCGGGCCAGGGGAGCAUGACGCAGGGAGGAGGGAAGGGACAAAAGAGAGGCCGGGAGGCGGCGGGCGGCCGGCGCGCCCACCGCUCCCUCCCUCCUCCCUGGCCAGUCCCCGUUCUCUCUCGGCGGCUUUCCCUCGGUCCCCUCCGCCUCUCCUCCUUCCCUUCCCGGGCCUCCUCCCUCUUCUUGUCAGCCUCCCUCCUGGCCCUGUGCGAUCUCUCGCUGCCUCUCUUUGCUCGUGUCAUUGUGUCAUUCUUUCUUUCCGUCCUCGCUCCUGUCUCGGUACGUCUGUCCUUGCACUGCCGGCACGUCUUCAUCCUUUGCGCCGUGGCUUCGGGUCUUCCCGUUGAAUUCUUUGCUUUUUCUUUCUGCCUGUCUCCUCCCUCUGCGUUCCCCUUGCUGCGCCGGGGCUCCGUCCUUCUCCCUCCCUCGGCUUUCUCCUUCGCUCUCUCCCCUUUCUCCGCACGCCUUCCCCAGGCUGGGUCUGCCGUUCCCGCUCCCUCUCUGCGCUCUCCCAGCCUCCCUCCCCUCGCUGAGGUUUGGUACCCCCCGCCCCCCACUGGGGACUCAAAGGUGAAUCAGACCCAAAUCUGCCCUUGCAGCGGGAGCUCACGGUGUGGUGGAGGAGACAGACCCAGCCGCAGACAGUCCCAUUCCGGGGUGAUGGGGUGUGACCGAGGGCGAGACCAGAGGCUGUGAGAGCCAGGGCGGAAGGAAUCCUCGCAGCAGGUCCACCGGGAGGACCUCCAGAGAAGGCGUGGUUGUGGCGUGACCUCCAAGAACCAGAAGUUAGACCCGAAUUGUUGAGAGGGGCAGCACUAAGGGCGUUCCAGGCCGAGGGCACUGCUUAAGCAAAGGCCCAAAGGCAGGAAACCAAGGUGAUUCCGGAGAACAACAAAGCAGUCAAGUCUGACUAGAGCGGUAGGGGCCGGGAGCCAAGGAGCGUAGAAGAAGCUGGGGCAUCCACCGGGAGCCUUGGCAUGUAUUCUGGAUGGAUGAGGACGUCUACUAUGUUUGAGGAUACAGAGGAGAUACUGGAAAGAAGCCCACGUGAGGAUGGAGGCAGAGACUGCAGUGACGUGUCUACCUGCCACGUCACUUGAGGACAGAAAGGAUGCCUACCAGCCACCAGAAGCUGGACAAGGAAGGAGACUUCAGAAAAAGCGUAGCCCUCCCAAAACCUUGGUUUUCAACUUCCAGCCUCCACGACUGUAAGGAACUCUAAAUGGAAGCUGUCAUUUCCAUUGUACUAUAACAUUAGAGAUAAGAACGAGUCAUGUUGUUCCUGUCUCCUGUCAAGGUAUUAAGAGUCACUUUCAAAUUUUGUCCAGAAGUAGAGGUCAACAUCAGGCAGAAUUAUUGCUGGUCAUUAGCAGAAAGAUGGUCUGGUCACGUCUGAUCAUCCUUCAACCAAAAUCAUUCUUCAGCUCACGACCUGUGGGAGAUUUGGGCACUGCCUUCCCCCAAGGCCAUCUGAGCAGCGUGACAAAGCCACUCUCCCAUGUUCAAAGAGCUACUGGAACAAAAAGGAGAUGGUACACUCUGCAGAUGACAGUCCCCACCUGACAGGACUUACUGAUGGCCAGAGUUGCUUAUGGAAAAGGUGGUUUCUUUGGUGAAUCUCCUGAGGAAGCAUGCAGUGGAAGUAUUUCACAUGUGACCCAUGCUGUGGAAGUUUUGCUGUUCAUUUGCUUCCGCUAAGGUGCUGAAACAGGUGUGCAGCUCUUGAAAGCUGAGACAGGUACGGAAACAGGCAUCAUUUUCAUGGUGUUGUCAGCCUUCCAGAAUGUUCCCAGUGAUCUCCACUUCCUGCUGUUCAUUCAUUCUCUCAGGCAAUCUCCCCCUGAGUUCACGCUGGACUUGCUGACUGGAUUAUAACCAUGUAACAUGGCAAGGGAAGGGAUGUUAUUUCCAAGCUUGGAUUACAAAGGACUGUGACUUCUGUCUUGCUGGCAAAUGCGUUGGCCUUCUUGGUUUUUCACAUAUUAAUGAUUAAUGAAGUAAGUGGUUAUAUUGUGAGUUGCCAUUUUGGAAAUGCCUAUGUGGCAAGACGCUGAGGGAAGCCCUUGGCCAACAGCCAGCGAGGAACCGAGGUUCUCGUUCCAGUCCCUGACGAGGCACCAAAUGCUGCCACAAACCAAUGUGUGAGCUUGGAAAUGCAUCAUUCCCCAGCACCAUCUGAAGACGGGGGACCCUGAGUCAGCACCUCCCUGGCCGACCGGUGAGAAAAACUGUGAGCAGAGGAUCAAACUAAGCUACGCCCAGAUUCCUGACCCACGGAACUAUAGGAUGGUGGAUGUGUGCCGUUGUAAGCUGCUUAAUGCUGGGGUGAUUUGUUAUGUAACACGGGAGAGCUCAUAUGAUUUUGAGAUCUUGAAGGUCAAUUGGAUUGUUCCAUUGUCCUAUUUCUCAUCCAAGAUUUAAGGACAGAUUCCACCCAAGAGAUUAUGUGACGUGUCCAGUGUGUGCGAAAAUCUUAGGGGAAAAAAAUGAGCUGGGGGACUUGCCCGUUUCUGAUGGUGGUGGACCAGGUGAAUCAACCCUUCUGCUGAAAACAACUCAAAGUACUGGUUAAAGUACUGAGAGGAUCUUCACAAAAAACGAAAGAACUUUGACCUUUUAAGGGAACCUUUAAAUCUCGAGAGAUUCCUCUAGUGAGGAAUUUCCCGGCUGAGAUUUACAAAGUGAGAAGCAAACAGCAUUCGAGGCUGCUUAGACCUAGGCGCAUUCGCUCCUUCUGAUGACAAAAAAUGACUUGCAGUUUUCAACAGUCUCCUGGAACAAGCGAUGAGGAUAAAAGGCACCAAGCCGGCAACAAGGCACACGGAGCCUCUGAAGAAGAUUCUUGAGUCACAGAAGGAAAAGGAUUCCAGGGAGACGGCCUCAGGUACAAGGACCAAGGGAGGUGCUAGCGCUGGAGUCAGGAUCUCCACAGGAAACCAGUGAACGCCAGGGACUAACUGCAUAUAGAUCAAAGAAGGGACUAGAAACCGUGUGCAGGUGGCAUAAAGGGGACAGAAAGGCCUCUGAGACAGGCAGUGGUGGGCAGCUGUGAUCACCUGGACAGGGAGGGAGGACGGGACCUGGGGCAGGAGAAGAGGGUGGGCACCUGGUUGGCUUGUGGACACAGGACAGCGCGGCUGUGGCCAGGACUGCGGGGAGGAAACAGGAGGAGUAAACACCCUGCCUUCUUUCCCUCCCUUUCUCCAAGCUCCAGUGCCACCUCCUGCUAAUCCCAGAGGGCAAGGGGAGGCCAAGACACAGUCCUGAGAGGCCAGCACAGAGCCGAGCAGAGAAGAGUGACUAGCGGACCAGAGGUCCGUCCCUCCUUGCCGUUCAGCACCAUCCUUGUCCUUUGUCCAGAUGGACAAGCUCAGGUCCCCAACACAGAGGGCCCAGCCCCAGAAGCUCUCCUGGCACAGUGGGGGAGGCCACUCAGGUUACAUGCCUAGCUAAACCACCACCGCGCUCUCCAGGUGAGACCGCGAGAUGAAAGAGUCAGGGCGCCCAGAGGAUCCCAGCCAGAAGUGCUUCCUCCUUACUGUCUUGCCGCAGUGACCCGUUGACCGUUCUUUGGAAUGUGAAGAGAUUUCCCAGUGAAUUAUUCUGGGUUCCGCUUCUAAUUCUCCUUUAUCCCCUGGUAUAGCAGCAACCUGAUUUCCUCUUAGUAACUGGAUCAGUCACCCUCGCCCGGUAGUGAGACCCCUCUGUCUACCUUUGGUUCAGCAUCACAUCAACGACUUGCCCCAACUGGCCCAGAGGCUCUCUCGGCCUCCUCUUCAGUGGAACCAGGAUUGUGUCCACUGGGACAAGUGUUUCUCCUUCAGGCACGAGGACUUCCAAACCCAUCCACUCCAAGCAUGUGAUUAGGUGUCUCAAAACAGAGCUGCAAGAAAUUUAAAAGAUCUUAACAAAUUUAAAAUUCUCAAUUGGCUCCAUUUGCACUUCUAGAAUCGGGCAACACUUUAUUCUACAAAAUAGAAUGAGUGAUCCAAUGAGCUGCACAGGAGGUGGGUUUUAUAGACACAGAAGGGAUGAGGAAAGCAGAAACAGAAAAAAGCGAUUUUGUUGCUUCAGGUUACUUAACUCAUAAAGGUUAAAAUAGGAGUGACUUCCUAAUCAUGCCAGCUAGAACUGGCCUGUUGGGGAUUUGGCUAUUAUGUCUCUUCUGAUUGCUCAGGAGGUCAGAUAGACAAUUUGAUUUUGGCUUGGUGAUGUGGAACUUUAACAUAAGUGACAGCCAUUUUGGUCUGGUCUGUUGGGUCAGGUGUGGGAGCCGAGUCAAACCAAUGGCCUCCUCUACAUUUUACUUCGCAGGUGGAAUAAGCCACUUCCACUUCUUGGUCGGGACAUGGAAAUGCUGCCAUGCCUUGGUGGUGGUUUAGGGCAAGUGCUGUUCUGUGGACCCCGCCCUGCCCCCCCACGUGUCCCCCUUGACGGCACCGCAGCUGAGCCUUCGUAAGUCCUUCCCCCACGACAUCGCGUCCUCGGCCUCAGCCUCCAGGUGAUGGGACAUAAUUUCACGUCCCUGUCCUCACGUUCAUUUCUGAUUUAGCGUGUGGGACCCAUUGGGCUCCUCCUUCAGCUGACAUCAUGGUAAAUAUAAGGGAUUCUUCCAAGUUCGCCAUAAAGGCUCUCUGACAUCUCCCUGUGUUCUGAGAUGGGAAUGCGAGGCCCAGGUUUGUCUUUCUCUUUUUGUUUGGUCUCCAAGUUGGUCAGAGGCAGAAUGUUGACCCCAUGGUCUUCAUUGUGGCUGUUGUCACCAAGGUGGCUAAGUGCCACUUAAUCUCCCUGUGCCUUGCCCUCCACCCGCCCUCCAUCGUAUUCCAUGGGUAAUAAUCUGAGCAGUCACAACACAAUGACAAUGACUAGGGGCUAACCCACAGUUGGGUAUGAAAUAAAACAGUCAUAUAUUGGUGAUGCACAAAUGGAAUUAAAAUGUUCUAAUGUCCUGUCUUGGAGAAGUUUAAAUAAACCUACUGCAGACUAUGAAGUAUGUG